CAUCCGGGUCUGAACAUUCGGUUACGACUGACGCUACACUUGCAGUUCUUUAUCCCUGCAUUUUAGCCGUGUGAUUCGAACGUGCCAAAUUUCAAACUGGGUAGUUAAUGGAUUCAUCGUGCUCUUAGCGACUUCUAUAGUCUGUGUUCAUUGCUUCAUUAUUUUGUUUUGUGUUUGGGCAGGAGAUGAUCUUCAAGCGGUGGUUCAAAAUUCAUGAUUUCAGGUUCCUCCGGCGUAGCUCAUUCAGAAAUUGGGCUGUGCAGCCCAAGGCAUUGGCAGAAGCUAUUGAUCGAGUGAUGGUUUUGAAUUGCAACCAUAAUUUAUGUGACAUACUUCUUUUGUGGCUGAUUUAGAAAUUUAAAAAAAAGUAACGCCGCCUGAAUCAUCCUGAAAAUUGUGGCUGAUUUCUGCACUUCAUCUACCAGGUGUGUACAUAAUUCCAUGGGUCUGGAAUAAAAUAUGCAAAGGAGAGGACAUGGGUCUGUAUUCCAAACAGAGCUCAGGCCAAAAACUGAAAGUCCAACUGCAGUUACAGGUUAUUUCAUCUAUAUUCUAAUGGUCAAAUUAAACUAUAGUUGCACUAUCUAAUCUUAGGUAGCCUAUAAUCUUAGUUGCCUUAUGUAGGUUGUUCUGGUGGUGAAUUAUAUGUAGCCUAUAAAAAAUUUGUGAUCAUCUGUGGAUUGUUAACUGUAGGCAGCUUUUAUGUUUAGUGGUUUGAGCUACAAUUGGAUUUGCAUAUAUUAGAUUCCCUCUAGGUAACCAUUUAUGUCAUAAAAUUGAGAUGCUUAAUUAAUAUGUAAAGCUUCUUUUCGAAAUUAAAUCUGGUGUGUAGCAUGUGAGUUGUUAUCUUUACCUUUGCUAGGCACCCAGAUGUUGAUUAUUACUUAAAGGCUUACUAAAGAUUUUAUUAAUGUCACUUAGCAUAAAGUUAGAGUUUAUACAUUGCUUCAGUCUGAAUUUUGCGAACCCUGUCAAAAUUCUUCACAUAGUACCUGUUUAACCUCAAGAAAGAUAGUUAGUAAUUUUGAAGUUAAAAUUAUCUAAAUUGGAUUCAUAUGAAGACAGAAUGAGUCUUUAUAUGUAUGCUUCAAAGGAAACUUUAUUCUAGAGGACUUUAGAUAAUCUUAGCUUGAUGAAUUGUUAUAACUUUUGUCUGUGACUUGCAUGUCUUUAUCGUGUGUAGAAUAAAUAUUAUUAUAAUAAUAUUAUUAAUCAAAAAGUCUGAUCAGUCACCAUGCCAACCAGCUUGCCGGCUAUAAGAGGACAAUUUAUUACUAAAUUUUAGUAACAACUAAUAUAAUUUGAUAAUUACAAUAAAUCAUAGUUAUUCAUCAUGGAAAGUCAAAAUUGAUGAUUAAAAUAAUAUUAAUGAUUAACCGUCUGAUGAGUGGAAUAUAUGCGAGAUCUCGAGUGAGAUCAGAUCAUACGGUUGGUAGUGCAGCAUCAAUCAAUAUGUUGUCUUGGUUAAUGUACUUAAACAUCUAAUCUUUGCUUCCCAUGCAAAGUACCUCUUAAUCUAAUCAGUAGUAACAAAAACAGGAUCACAAAUCCUUAGAGACGUUGUUUAGAAACCUCCCAGAAUAGUAUAGUUACCAAAGUCAAUGGAUAGUGUCCUGUAUUUUCUGUUGCAGUCCGUGGCUAAGCUACUGUCGCUCUGAUUAUUUUUUAUAAUCAAAUCUGAAAUCAUACUAUAUAUAAUCUGAUUAUAAGAAAGGCUAUCAGUAUCUUUUAAAUGUAUACAGAAUAUCACAUAGCAAAACAUAGGAAAGGGAAAGAGGUGGCUAGAAAACUUUGAUGCCUAUUGAUCUCAGGUUUAACUUGGGUACCCCUGAUGAAAAUGAACCCAACAUCGAAGAUUUUAAUUUCAAAGGCUUGGCAAGUGCAAUAUGUUCCUAUAAACAAAUAGAAGUGCAAUGGGCCUAUACAAGCAUCUCAGUUUCCAAUCUAAUAUAUACAUUAUUCCCUAAGGUUCUUUUUUGUUAUUUGGAUCUUAUUAAUUCUGUUGUACUUAAGAUUAAGGAAAUUUUGAAUUCUAUAUUCUACAUUUAAUUAGAUGUCAAAGAGUUGGUGACAAGAGAACAAAAGAUCUCUCUUUGCUAUUGCUUAUUUUACCAGAUUCUGGAAUACCUGCUAAAGUAAAUGCCUAUCUUUAUACAAUUAAACAUACCUCUGCUAUAGUGAAUGCGGGUGAUGUUUAGGCUAGGGACAAGUUGGAACGUGUUCUCCAGUGCCUUGAUAAGGGCAGAUGUGACGCUCUCCAGGACUGCAUCGUUCUUUUGCCAUAUUCAGAUGUUACUCAGCUACACACCCCAUCAACAUCUACUUAUUUGUCGCACCUCUCUCCACAUUAUGCAUCAUUAAGCUUAUCAGGUCAAGUUAACAAACACCCAAUGUCUCCACUUUUUACCUCUCCUUCUGCGAGGAGUUUAUAGCAUAUAAAUUUAACAGGUAUGGUCAAAUAAACAUUAGGUUUUAAAUAUAAGCUAUAUUUAAAUAUUGGUAAAAUAAAAAUAUUGCUUUGUCGAAUAGAAAUAACAGUAAUGCUGGUAAUGCCGGAUAAGAACACAAGUAAUUUCGGUUCCUAUUAUUGAUCUCUACGCAAUAGAUAUUAGUUAACUUAUUGGUGUUUGUCAAAAAGUUUCAUUUGGUUAGACUACUCAGAUUUACAAUUUUUGAAAUAAGAAGUCAUUGAAUUCACUCUUUUUAUAAGUUAGCUUUUCUCUUUGAUGAAUUCCCAAAAAGAUUUGGAUCAUCUUUUAAUAACCCGACUAUGGUAUGUAUAUUCCAUACAAUUGUGCAACUAGGAAUUAGAAAAAGAGACACGUAACAAUACACAAUAAAAACCUGAUUAUUGGAUGUGUACAGAUAAAUUAUCAAUUAUAAAAAUAUGAAAACAACAAACAUUACCCGUGUGCGAAGCACGGGCCAGAUAUACUAGUUUUCUCUAACACUCAUACAGAGCAAAUCAAUUAAAAUUUAGGGAAAUCUACAAAACUACCUACCUUUUCUUUAAUUAUUUACAAAAAUACUACCUUCCAGAAUUAUUUUUAAAAAUACCUUUUCAUAAAAUUGUUUUUUCAAAAAUACUGUUUGCAACUUUUGCAACCUCAUUUGCAACUAGCCAGCCGUGUUGCAACCUCUUUUGCAACUUCAUCUGCAACUGAAUUUCUGAUUUCAAGUUCCAGUUUUCAAAUGUCAUUUUCGACCUCAUU